AGGAGGAGGUGCAACAAAAGAACACAGCCAUGAACCGACAAGCCCGAAACUAAACCUGUUCAGUGAUUCAACCACCAUGUGAUCUCCAGUCCAAGGAAUCAGUUUGAACUUCAACUUAACCGAGACGAGUGCGUCCAAGUUUGCUUUCGCUUUUUGGGUUAGGGUGUAAACAUGUACUGAAAAUGGAGUUCCUACAGAAUCAGGAAAUGAUGAUGAAAGUCAUGCUCAUUGUUUUGUUCAUGCAAGGUUCUUCAGCCGACACCCCGAGGGAGCUCAGCGUGUUGGCGGGGACAGAUGUGACUCUCGGCUGCGUCUUUGAUAAGCUGUCCAAGCAGGUGGAGUGGAGCGCUCUGACCGUUGAGUGGAUCACGGUGGAUAAACGUGGAGGGAAGAGCAUUGUGUACACUUUUGAAGAUGGUAAAGUGCUCUUGAACAGAGGCGGCUCUGUGGUGGAUAAAACGCGGUUACUGCAAAGCGACGCGUCCCUGAAGCUUUGCAAUGUGACUGUGGGGGAUGAAGGAGUCUACACAUGCAGAAUCAUCACACCUGUCGUCUACACUGAGACCGUUUCUGUGGAAGUGCUCGCUCGGCCCUCAGUGUUGCUUCCAGAGACGGCGGCGUUGAUGGAGGGCCAGGAGAAGACGAUACAGUGUAACAUCACAGGAUACUAUCCAGACCAGCUGGACGUGACGUGGCACAUCCAAAACGGCUCCACCACCGUCCUUGCAGGCUUAAACCCACUCUUCAGUGUCUGCACCAAUAUGGCCGCUCACAACCCAGAUGGCACUUAUAGCAUUCGCAGCGGCAUCACUCUGCACUCGUCGGCAGUGAAGGGCGGAGACGUACGCCUCAUCUGCAGGGUGGAGCACCAGACCUUCAGUCAGCCCUACAACAGAUCCAUAACACUGAAAGUUCAAGCUCCAUCACUCCCCUCUUCCAUUGUCGGUGUUCUGAUUGGCCUCGGGAGUCUUUUGAUUUUUGGGAUGAUCGUCUCUCUUAUUGGAAGUUUUCUGGUGAUCAUCAGGCAUCUCUCUAAAGAUCCACCGAGUGUUUCUCAAAUCACACCCAACAUCAUUUAUGCCGAGGUGCCGACACAGCUUCAGUGCACGAUCCGGGGAGAAAAAAAAAGACAGGGGCUCAGAGUGAAAUGGUUUCGUUUGAGAAGCCUCGCAGAGUCGGAUGUCCCGUCGGAGUCGGCUCCUCUGUUGGUCACCGAGGAGCUGAGCCACAAGGCGUCUCUCAAGUCAGACGGCAAACAACACACAUCAGUCCUGCCCGUGUGUCUGAGUGUCACUGAAGACAUGACCAAGUACCAGUGUGUGGUUCAGUGCAGGAACAAGACCAUCGUCAGAGAGACCACAGUCGAUGUAAAAGUGGAGCCGUCUCUCCUCCAGAUCUCCAGCAUCCCUCAGAUCCCGAAGGUGGAGAAACGGCUGGUUCUCUGCUGUCGGGUGGAGAACUUCUAUCCCUCAGAUGUGGACCUGGUGUGGUCCAGGGACGACGGCGAGCGGGUUUGCUCCAUCACGCACUACGGACCUUUCUCCGCCCCGAACCGCCUGUACAGCGUGUGGAGUAAGAUCGAGCUGCUCAUGGCCAGAGAGGACGAGAAAGUAGUGUACACCUGCCGCGUUUACCACACCAGCUUCCCCGAGCAGGGCUACAGAGAUGUCAUGUACCACAUCAACACCCGAGGAACUGCUCCUGAUCCAAAGUUCAUUGAGUGUGAACCACAAGUCCCUCUGAUGAAUAAAGAGUGCACUCUGCACCUCUGCAUCGAGAACUUCUGUCCUGAGGACCUGACCGUGACCUGGACUAAAAAUGAAGAGGAGGUUCCCUCGGGUGUCUUCAACACUCCCCCGAGCCUGAACAUUAACGGCCUCUACUCCAUGUUCACUUUUCUCAAUUUCACUCCCGCUGAGGACGACAGAGGUGCUGAGUUCAGGUGCAAGGUGGUCCACAGCGCCCAGAAGGAACCGGGAGAGGAGAGGUUCUUCACGCUGCCAGUCCUGCAGGUGCCAAACGGCUGCUGACAGAAGCAUCAGUAAACCAUUGAGCAGAAUGAGGCCUAAAGACUGAAGGUUACAGGGGAAGCUGCAGAUCACAGACUGUAUAAAACAUGGACAUACUCUCAGUGACGUCACCCAUUGGAUGUUGAAAAUGCUGUCUAAAGUCACUUUCGGUCGAGCUAGAAGUAGGCAAAGCGGUUGAGCUGAGCCUCCUGGCAAACAGCUACAAUGUUCUUGCCUGUGAGUUAACUUAACUCAACAUGCUGUAACUAUUCAAAUUUUACUUUUAGCCCUAAAAUAAUCAAAACAAUAAGGAAAUGAGGUAUUGAAACCAAGUGUUUGUACCAGGCUGUGAACGUGUUUAAAAUAGGCAUUAGUAGAAUAUGGGUGUCAAUGGGACUUCUGGGAUUUUUGCAUUACUCUCGAUGAACUUCAUUUUUUUUUGCACUUCCACAUUGGUAUCAUUUUUUAUCACCAGAGGUCGCCAUUUGCAGCAGACAUAACACAGUGGUUAUACUUCAGCCAGAUGGGCUGCAGCCCAUUUCUGAAGUGUUACAGGAGCCUUUAAGAAGCCGCUCCUCCUCUAUUUUUCACAGAGCCGCUUCAAGCUGCACAGAGCAGAUAAAGAUAGCAGGAAGUUAGACACAGGGCAGGGAUAGCUAGACAGGUAACUUUCAAAACUGUCUUUUGCAAUAGAAGUUUGUUUGAAGUAGUAAAUUCCUCUUUGUUUUGUUGAAACAGUCCUAAACUUUUUAAAGAUGAACUGUCCACUUGGUGGUUUCCUUAGAACUACACACCAUGGGGACUGUUUUUUUCCGCUCUUCAUUCGCACCAUCAUGAUACCUCCUCUGAAGCAGGAGCUAAAAAGGUUCCUCUAAACGGGGUUCUAGGAACUAAAAUAGUUCAUAGUUCCUGUAGUGUGUAAUCAAUAAAAAAGGGGGAGGGUUCCAACAGUUCCUAAAACUAUAAUAAAGUUCCUGCAGUCCGAUAACGUCUGUUGUUACUCUCCUUUU